UACGUAGGGUGCAAGCGUUUGUCCGGAAUUAUUGGGCGUAAAGAGCUCGUAGGCGGUUUGUCGCGUCGGCUGUGAAAACUCGGGGCUCAACCCCGAGCCUGCAGUCGAUACGGGCAAACUUGAGUGCGGUAGGGGAGACUGGAAUUCCUGGUGUAGCGGUGAAAUGCGCAGAUAUCAGGAGGAACACCGGCGGCGAAGGCGGGUCUCUGGGCCGAAACUGACGCUGAGGAGCGAAAGCGUGGGGAGCAAACAGG
rnacentral:rRNA from 1 species